UACUCUUGUAAGUAGGAUCUUUAUAAACGUAUAAGAUUGUUAUGAAAAUAUUUUUGGAGAUUCGAUUGACAAAUUUUUGGUAUCAGAGGUUCGAUGUGUUUUCGAAAUCAAAUCUUUCUUUGUACCCAAUUUCGCGAAUCAUCCUCCAAGAUCCUAUGCAAUUGAGAAAACAUGACUCAAAUCAUAAUUCUUCAUGAUUUAUUCGGUAAAAAACGAUUUUCUUUGCAAUGAUUUACAGAAACUAGGAAUAAGUAAGUACGCACCAUCGCAUAGGCAAAAACAUGAAAAAUUAUUCGUGGAAUUGACGCAGAUUGAUGAUUCAGUUUAGAGCAGCAGAAGCUCUAAUAUUAUUUGUACCAUGUUUACAUUUACGCCUAGGGCAAAUAUCUGUGGUUGGGACAAGUCCGACUGGGCUGCAAUCUGCCAGAAUGUUGUUGCAAAUUCUACAGCCGUUUGUGCCUCCGUGUAUGUAUUGUUUUUGGGUCGAGUAUUAAAACAAAAACAAAUAUUGACUUGCAGGAUACGUGGAAAUAUCCGCGCUUGUGUCUAUGCCAAUGGUACUGGCACUGUUAGCACCGGAUAUGAUGGUCAAUGCGAAUAAAUUAACAUUAUGUGACCACUGAGCGAUACCAUACCGCUUAUGUAGGAAUUUUUUUUUAGUUUUUCAAGUUUAUUGAAUACUGUUUUUCUUGAGCUUUCGAACGAUGAAGAAAAAUUUUUAAAAUGUUUUAAACUGAUGGAAAAAUAAAAUAUCAAUUGCCUUUUUUUCUGAAAUUGCGAUUA